rnacentral:lncRNA from 1 species
AUUUGUGAUAGUUAUAAGUCAGGGGCGGAUCCAGCCAUUUUAAACCAGAUGCUCCGCAGGGCGCAGCUUUAUACGACCGCAGAGGUCGAACCCUGAACAGUAAGGGCAAGUAUGAACACAACAUUCAAGCUUAAUACAGCUCUGAAUUUGGAUUGUGAUUAAAUAGUUGACACAGCAAAAGUUUCUGACACAGAAUGAAUGUGGUCUAAUGAACUUAAAAAACAAAUUUGCUUUUGAGCAAUACACUAUGCUGUUGAAUAUAAAUCCCCUCAAAAAAAAAUAUUUGAAGAAAAAUUCUUUUUAAUUUCUGAAAUCUGAAAAAAGAAAAUUUACCCUUCAUCCGUCCCCAUUUUUUUCACCUCCCCCAUCCCUUAUUCUAAAAAUAAUCUCUAAUUAAAAUUUCUAAAUAAGUUGGCAACUAUAACUACUCAUUUAAAUACAUCAUAAAGUAUUAAAAUAUGAAAUAACUUAGUCAUAGUUAAAAUUAAUAUUAAUUUAACAGUAACUUCUAAAAAUAACCAUCCCUUUGUAGUAUGGAAACUUUUGGUAUAAUUUCAAAGAGAUUUAUACACUUAAACACAAGUUAUUGACUAAAAACUACAGUGCCUAAAUGUUCAGGGAUAUCAACCCAAAACUGACACCAAGCCUUCCCUUCAUUAAAUGGAACCUUGU